rnacentral:lncRNA from 1 species
GACACACCCCGUCCCGAAGGAGGGCAUGCUAGCCGUCACGUGAGAGUGACGUAACCAUUUGCACAGUACGGAAGCUUUAAGAUACAAUUUAUAAGUUGAUACACCCGAAUGUGAGUCCUAAUUUUGUCCAAUCUGUCAGAACACCGUCGAAUUCCUCGUAGUCACCACACCUUUGUGAUUCUUGAACCUGGAGGGGCGCAAAACCAAAAUUGAGUGGGUCAGUAAAACAAUUCUUUUCCAAAACCAAACAUUUCUCAAAACGUUGUAACCCCUCUCCGUAAAACUUGUAUACUUUCCCAGAAAUGUAAAAUAUAAAUAUACAUAUAUAUUCUCAAAACUUCAUUUUUACUAUCUCAACAUUUUUCUUUAUCAAUCAUGCCAUGCCAUGUCUAAUUCAACAGUUAAGUAUGGAUGCAUCAACAAUAAUCAUAUCAGGUGCAAGAAAGAAAUCAACCGGAGGCCCUCUAAUAGCCCUGUACGGUUGAACCUAGAGCUCAAAAUCUAUCACUCUCACUCUGCCGGAGUCACCUCUGUGACCUGUACGGCCUUCUGCACACAAGUUACGCUCUAGUGCUUUCUCAUCAAUCAUCUGUGCACAUAAUCUAAGGUCACCCACCAGUCGAAAUCUCACUAACACUCUACGACUGGCCCGUCGCACCCACUCCGCGUGGACUGUGCGACCAGCAUCUACUUGGAUCCAAGGCGAGCGUGCGAUGCGGUGAAUACUAUAAGCACUAAACCAUGGUGCAGGAUUUGAGCUCAAUAUACAUCAACAUCAUCAUAACAGUAAUUAAAUACUCACCUGAUACUCACCUGUGCGUCCGCCGCACCAUUCAUUCAUAUGCAUCAUAUCUCAAUUCAUACUUUUCAUAUCAUUUCAUGCAUGGCAAUUCGAUUCACAUUUCUAUAUACUUUUCAUAUCAUUUCAUGCAUGGCAAUUCGAUUCACAUUUCUAUAUACUUUUCAUAUACUUUUAUGCAUGGCAUCUCAAUUCACAUUUCAAUAUACUUUUCAUAUAAUUUUAUACAUUGCAUUUAAAGCAUACUUUCAUUAAAUUUCAAUUUCUGGGAAAACGUCAAGUAUAUAUAUAUACGGAAAACAAAACUGCCCACUCACCUGGAGUUCGCCCUACAACUCCCUAGCACAAUACGUCAAGGCGUCAUGACGAUCGCCGCCUAGAACAGUAAUCAAAUCCAACCUCAGAAUUCAUAUCGAUAGAAUAUAUAACUUAUAUAAAAUACGUCACUACGU